rnacentral:lncRNA from 1 species
GACUCGAAGGGAAGAAAUAUUACCUUUGAUGGGUAAGACUGCAUCUAUUCCAUAUACCAAUGAGAAAUGAGUUGCCCCGGUGAGGUCUUUUCUUUUAUUUUUGGUCUUUUUUUAUUUUUUUACUUUUUUUAUUUUUUUGUUUUUUUUGUUUUUUUGCCUCCACUGAGUCGUUCAUUUUGGGGCGACAUGGUGUUAAUCUUGAACAGACUGCAAACUUCUGAUGUCGUGCGGUUGUUCAAAUUCAAUGCAUUGUCUAAUAUGAUCCUUUUUGGCAUUCCAUAUUGACAUAUGAUUCUUCAAGAAAAUUACUGAUUGUCUACUUUGUGAUAUUGACAUAUGAAACAACUUCUACCCACUUUAUGCAGUAAUUGAUGACCACAAAGAUGAAUCGAUA